GUCUGUAUCGAUUAGUGGUCAAAUCAUCUCGUUGUGGUUCCCUGCUCCGAGAAGCCGCAGGCUCGAAUCCUGCUACGGACA